AUUGAACGCUGGCGGAAUGUUUUACACAUGCAAGUCGAACGGUAACAGGCCGCAAGGUGCUGACGAGUGGCGAACGGGUGAGUAAUGCAUCGGAACGUGCCCAGUCGUGGGGGAUAACGCAGCGAAAGCUGUGCUAAUACCGCAUACGAUCUAUGGAUGAAAGCGGGGGAACGUAAGGCCUCGCGCGAUUGGAGCGGGCGAUGUCAGAUUAGGUAGUUGGUGGGGUAAAGGCUCACCAAGCCAACGAUCUGUAGCUGGUCUGAGAGGACGACCAGCCACACUGGGACUGAGACACGGCCCAGACUCCUACGGGAGGCAGCAGUGGGGAAUUUUGGACAAUGGGCGCAAGCCUGAUCCAGCAAUGCCGCGUGCAGGAAGAAGGCCUUCGGGUUGUAAACUGCUUUUGUACGGAACGAAACGGCGAGCUCUAAUACAGUUUGCUAAUGACGGUACCGUAAGAAUAAGCACCGGCUAACUACGUGCCAGCCGCCGCCGUAA
rnacentral:rRNA from 1 species